rnacentral:rRNA from 1 species
CCGACACGGGGAGGUAGUGACGAAAAAUAACAAUACAGGACUCUAAACGAGGCCCUGUAAUUGGAAUGAGUACAUUCUAAACCCCUUAACGAGUAUCCAUUGGAGGGCAAGUCUGGUGCCAGCAGCCGCGGUAAUUCCAGCUCCAACAGUGUAUGCUAAAGUUGUUGCGGUUGAAAAGCUCGUAGUUGGAUCUUGGGUGGGUGCCGCCGGUCCGUCGCAAGGCGUGUCACUGGCGGCGCUCGCCUCGCCUUCGGUUCUCCGUCGGUGCUCUUGACUGAGUGUCGGCGGUGGCCGAUAAGUUUACUUUGAAAAAAUUAGAGUGUUCAAAGCAGGCUGUUCGCCUGCAUAGUGUUGCAUGGAAUAAUGGAAUAGGACCUCGGUUCUAUUUUGUUGGUUUUCGGAGCGCGAGGUAAUGAUUAAGAGGGACAGACGGGGGCGUCCGUACUCUGCCGUUAGAGGUGAAAUUCUUGGAUCGGCGGAAGACGAACUACUGCGAAAGCAUUCGCCAAGAAUGUUUUCUUUAAUCAAGAGCGAAAGUCAGAGGUUCGAAGACGAUCAGAUACCGUCCUAGUUCUGACUAUAAACGAUGCCAACUAGCGAUCGGGAGGCGUUACCAUGACGACCUUCCCGGCAGCUUCCGGGAAACCAAAGUCUUUGGGUUCCGGGGGAAGUAUGGUUGCAAAGCUGAAACUUAAAGGAAUUGACGGAAGGGCACCACCAGGAGUGGAGCCUGCGGCUUAAUUUGACUCAACACGGGGAAACUCACCCGGCCCGGACACAGGUAGGAU